GACGAACGCUGGCGGCGUGGAUUAGGCAUGCAAGUCGAACGGUAUCAUCCUUUCGGGGGUGAGAGAGUGGCGAACUGGUGAGUAACACGUAGGUUAUCUACCCUCAAGACGGGGACAACCCAGGGAAACUUGGGCUAAUACCGGAUGUGAGCAACUUUUAGUUGUUUGAAAGGUGGCGUAAGCUGUCGCUUGGGGAUGAGCCUGCGUCCUAUUAGUUAGUUGGUGAGGUAACGGCUCACCUAGGCAAUGAUAGGUAGGCGGCCUUAACGGGUGGUCGCCCACACUGGGAUUGAGAUACGGCCCAGACUCCUACGGGAGGCAGCAGUCGAGAAUAGUCUACAAUGGUCGGAAGACUGAUAGUGCGACGCCGCGUGAACGAUGAAUCCCUUCGGGGUGUAAAGCACUUUUCGGGAGGAAGAGGAAGGACUGUACUCCCAGAAUAAGCCUCGGCUAACUACGUGCCAGCAGCCGCGGUAAGAUCACGUGUA
rnacentral:rRNA from 1 species